UACGAAGGGUGCAAACGUUGCUCGGAAUCAUUGGGCGUAAAGCGCACGUAGGCGGCCUCGCAAGUCGGAUGUGAAAUACCUAGGCUCAACCAAGGACGUGCAUCCGAAACUGCAAGGCUUGAGUACAGAAGAGGAUCGCGGAAUUCCCGGUGCAGAGGUGAAAUUCGUAGAUAUCGGGAGGAACACCAGUGGCGAAGGCGGCGAUCUGGGCUGAUACUGACGCUGAGGUGCGAAAGCGUGGGGAGCAAACAGG
rnacentral:rRNA from 1 species